GUAUAUUUAUAACAGCGUUAUUCAAAGACUAUUGGACAGGUCUUUCAUCACAUACAAUCACAGCAAAUUUCCUACUGGAGUGUUUGACUCCUAAUUCAGGUGAAAAUGCAUUCCUGCUCGUGUGAUCAAGUUAGAGUUCAUACUUCGACAUUGCUGCUUUUGAUACAAGAUUAAAUAAAAUCAAAGUUGAAAUGAUU